CCUACGGGUGGCAGCAGUGAGGAAUAUUGGUCAAUGGACGCAAGUCUGAACCAGCCAUGCCGCGUGCAGGAAGACGGCUCUAUGAGUUGUAAACCGCUUUUGUACGAGGGCAAACGCACAUACGCGUAUCUGUCUGAGAGUAUCGUACGAAUAAGGAUCGGCUAACUCCGUGCCAGCAGCCGCGGUAAUACGGAGGAUUCAAGCGUUAUCCGGAUUUAUUGGGUUUAAAGGGUGCGUAGGCGGUCGGAUAAGUUAGCGGUGAAAUCCCGAGGCUCAACUUCGGAAUUGCCUCUGAUACUGUUCGUCUAGAGAGUAGUUGCGGUAGGCGGAAUGUAUGGUGUAGCGGUGAAAUGCUUAGAGAUCAUACAGAACACCGAUUGCGAAGGCAGCUUACCAAGCUACUUCUGACGUCGAGGCACGAAAGCGUGGGGAGCAAACAGGAUUAGAUACCCCUGUAGUC
rnacentral:rRNA from 1 species